rnacentral:rRNA from 1 species
ACACAUGCAAGUCGAGGGGCAGCAUGGUCUAGCAAUAGACUGAUGGCGACCGGCGCACGGGUGAGUAACACGUAUCCAACCUACCGGCUAUUCCGGGAUAGCCUUUCGGAAGAAAGAUUAAUACCGGAUAGUAUAGCGAGAAGGCAUCUUCUUGCUAUUAAAGAAUUUCGAUAACCGAUGGGGAUGCGUUCCAUUAGUUUGUUGGCGGGGUAACGGCCCACCAAGACAUCGAUGGAUAGGGGUUCUGAGAGGAAGGUCCCCCACAUUGGAACUGAGACACGGUCCAAACUCCUACGGGAGGCAGCAGUGAGGAAUAUUGGUCAAUGGACGAGAGUCUGAACCAGCCAAGUAGCGUGAAGGAUGACUGCCCUAUGGGUUGUAAACUUCUUUUAUAUGGGAAUAAAGUGAGCCACGUGUGGCUUUUUGUAUGUACCAUACGAAUAAGGAUCGGCUAACUCCGUGCCAGCAGCCGCGGUAAUACGGAGGAUCCGAGCGUUAUCCGGAUUUAUUGGGUUUAAAGGGAGCGUAGGCGGACUAUUAAGUCAGCUGUGAAAGUUUGCGGCUCAACCGUAAAAUUGCAGUUGAUACUGGUCGUCUUGAGUGCAGUAGAGGUAGGCGGAAUUCGUGGUGUAGCGGUGAAAUGCUUAGAUAUCACGAAGAACUCCGAUUGCGAAGGCAGCUUACUGGACUGUAACUGACGCUGAUGCUCGAAAGUGUGGGUAUCAAACAGGAUUAGAUACCCUGGUAGUCCACACAGUAAACGAUGAAUACUCGCUGUUUGCGAUAUACAGCAAGCGGCCAAGCGAAAGCAUUAAGUAUUCCACCUGGGG